GUUCUCCCUGGGGCCGUCGCUGCCGUACUUGCAUGCCGCGCGAGCAGCGAGGCCAGCGGAGGCGGUGGUGGAAGGGUGAUUCGACCUCCGCCUUCCACCCAGGCGAGCAGCGGUGCGCCGCGGAGAGCUGGUUGAACGCUAGCCGCACCAGGCACUCCCGGGCCAGGUAGAACCACUACGCCAUCCCUUUCAGCGUCGUCUCCUCCCAGACCAUCUUUUCAAUCCACGGUUGCUGGAGGCGUGCUCUCUCCUUGUGCUGCCGGCCGCCGCCAGCCCCCCUACCGCUGCCUCCUUCCUCUCACCUCCGCCUCCUUCACAGCUUGCAAAGUGUUCGACAGAAUGCUCAUGAGGAGACUUGGGCAGCAACAUAAAGAUAGUAGUUGUCUGAUCUGCCUGUAGUGCUCUAACCAGUAACCACAUCAAGAACAGGCCUACUCUUCUGCCAGGUUAGAAUUUUUCCUCUACUUUCAUUGGUUGGUCUGAUCUGUACAAUGAUAUGUACACCCUAGCAUGUGUAGCCACUUUUUGUUAGUUUAGUGAAGAAAUUAUGAUUCCCCAAUUAGAACUAGAGCCAAAUUAUGAUCCAAAUGAUAAUGCAAACUUCAAAAAGCAACUAUCAUCUUUUUCUUAGUUUAGUGAAUAAAUUUGCCUGAACUUUUGAUCUCAUUAUAUUUGCCUGCAUCAUACAUGAAUUUUGGAGAAUGCAACUCCACCUAUCCAUGCAAGUAUCUAAGGAAAAGGCUACAUUUGUCUGAUGAAUCAUUUUUUAUAUGCUAUCAAGAUUGCACAUGUGCACUGAAAUUUCCGAAACAAAAGAAAGAAGGGUGCAACAAUAUCUUUAAAAAAUAAUUGUGCCUAAUGUUUGUCGUUACCUUUUGACAAUGCUGCAUGCACAUAUAAUGCCUAAGUUGACCUUCUUGAGUAAGCAAAAUUUUAAUUAUAUGAACAAACUUUUCACCAGCUUAACAGAUGGAUCAGAAAUACAUGUAGUUUUUCUGCCAUUGCCUUUUUAAAUCAGGGAACAUGCAUGGACCUUAACUGGUGAGGUUCCAACUGAAAUAUCACUGAAUGAAGACCACUUUUUAGCAAUCCUAUUGAAAUUUACAUAUUUGAGUGCCCCUGUUGGCGAAACCGUACUUUCAGUUUAGGUCCAUCCAAUUGCUCUGAAUGUUGACCAAUUUGUGAAAAUUGAAUGACGGAAAAUUUUCGUUUGAGAAAUGCAUCUACAUAUUGUUGAUCAGCUUUUGUGUAUGUCGGAGGGAUGUACAGGAGAUGUGUUCGUCAGUUGUUGAGUUUGGCAUCGAACUGUUAAUGUUCAACAAAUUGGCCAUUAUGAUGAUCGUUUGCAUUUUGAGAUAAUCAUAACUCUGGAUUGUAUAAUUUGCUCCUUCCUUUAUCAGCAUGACCUAAUUUACUGCGCUGUUAGAUUAUUUUGGAUCAGCAUCCUAAUCUACCAACUAAAUGUUUGGUGGCCAUGAAUUAUGAUCUUUUCAUGUAAUAUAUUGCUGGACAGAACCUUAAUGGCUGCAGCGAAACUAAGAUGUGUAUUUGUAUUGUAAGUUGCGUGUGCUUUAAACAAAAAGAGAGUUGUCAUGUUAUUUGUCUUUA